rnacentral:hammerhead_ribozyme from 1 species
AUCAGCUGAUGAGUCCCAAAUAGGACGAAACGUGUGUCGUGGAA